UCCUCCCCUCCACCAAGAAACCUCCUCCAACCACUCCCCCUCCCCUCUCUUUAUUCCCCUCUGGAACCCUAGCUUCCACCAACCCUAGCCUCCUCCCUCUCGCGCCGCCGCCUUCUUCUCCCUCUUUUUUUAUUCACCUCUCUGUGAGCAAACGAAACACGAGAAACCCCAUAGCAACCACCCACCUCGCCAUGGCGCCGUCACUACACACCAUCCCCCGCCGUUCUGAGGGCACCAGCGGAUCCGCCUCGUCGAGCUCUACGUCGUGGUGCAAGGAAUCGAGUCAAUACCCCGUAAAUCAAGCGCAAGGUCGCCGUUUCUCCUCCAUGGCCGCCAUGCUCCGGCGACGAUUCGGGGUGCCCUCGUCCUCCUCCGGCCGAACCGAGCACACCUCUGGCUUCCCCGUGUUCAGGCGCGUCUCCGUCGCCCUCUGCCUCGUCCCGGUUCGCCCGGAUUCAUCAGAUCGAAGGUUGACCUGCAGCCCCCUCCACCAUGACUCCGUUGACAAAGAUCCAACCCUCAGCGGCCCAAGUUCGAAUCUCUCCUGCGCCUCUUCCCUUUAUUUUUGGGGGGCUUCUUCUCUUCAUGCUGCAGCCCAUCGACUCCAGAUCCACUUCAAAAUCAUCGGCGCACCCUCACUAUCACGAUCCAAGCAAUAGCCCAGCUGAUCUGGCGCCUAUUGGGCCUUGGCCCAUUCCUCUCCCGGUGUAGACGUCGCCCGUGUGCAGCAGCCUGCUAUCCGUCGCCGUUUCGGCCAGCAUUUGCUUCUUCUCGGAUAGGAUCACGAAGUGUUGAUGUGAGAUACGACGAGUUCUCCGACAAGUUCUUCAAAU